rnacentral:rRNA from 1 species
AACGAACGCUGGCGGCAUGCUUAACACAUGCAAGUCGAACGGAAACUUCCGCCUUUGUGGCGCAGCUCGACGUACCACGUGGUAAUUUACACUUGGGUAACCAAUAAUUGACGGAAACGUAACCUCAUGAAAGUGGGUCUAAUACCGCCUAAGAUCUAUCGCCACAGGGUGGGGCCUCGAAGGUUUCGGCGGUUGGUGAUGUACUCGCGGCCUAUCAGCUUGUUGGUGGGGUGGUGGAUUACCAAGGCUUGGAAGGGUAGCCGGCCUGAGAGGGUGACCGGCAACAUUGGGACUGAGAUACGGCCCAGACUGCUACGGGAGGCAGCAGUGGGGAAUAUUGCACAAUGGGCGGAAGCCUGAUGCAGCAACGCCGCGUGCGGGAUGACGGCCUUCGGGUUGUAAACCGAUUUCGCCUGUGACGAAGCGUGAGUGACGGUAAUGGGUAAAGAAGCACCGGCUAACUACGUG